rnacentral:rRNA from 1 species
AGUGAACGCUGGCGGUAGGCCUAACACAUGCAAGUCGAACGGCAGCCCAGUAAGAGCUUGCUCUGACGGGUGGCGAGUGGCGUACGGGUGAGGAAUACAUCGGAAUCUACUUUUUCGUGGGGGAUAACGUAGGGAAACUUACGCUAAUACCGCAUACGACCUACGGGUGAAAGCAGGGGAUCUUCGGACCUUGCGCGAUUGAAUGAGCCAAUGUCGGAUUAGCUAGUUGGGGGGGUAAAUGCCCACCAAGGCGACGAUCCGUAGCUCGUCUGAGAGGAUGAUCAGCCACCCUAGCAGUGAGACAGAGCCCCGACAUCUACGGGAGGCCGCAGUCGGGAAUAUUAGGCAAUGGGCGAAAGGCUGAUCCAGCACUACCGCGUGAGUGAAGAAGGCCUUCGGGUUGGUAAGCCAUUUUGUUGGGAAAGAAAAGCAGCAGGUUAAUACCCCGCUGUUCUGACGGUACCCAAAGAAUAAGCACCGGCUAACUUCGUG